UGGGGAAUAUUGCACAAUGGGCGCAAGCCUGAUGCAGCCAUGCCGCGUGUAUGAAGAAGGCCUUCGGGUUGUAAAGUACUUUCAGCGAGGAGGAAGGCGGUAAGGUUAAUAACCUUAUCGAUUGACGUUACUCGCAGAAGAAGCACCGGCUAACUCCGUGCCAGCAGCCGCGGUAAUACGGAGGGUGCAAGCGUUAAUCGGAAUUACUGGGCGUAAAGCGCACGCAGGCGGUCUGUCAAGUCGGAUGUGAAAUCCCCGGGCUCAACCUGGGAACUGCAUUCGAAACUGGCAGGCUAGAGUCUUGUAGAGGGGGGUAGAAUUCCAGGUGUAGCGGUGAAAUGCGUAGAGAUCUGGAGAAAUACCGGUGGCGAAGGCGGCCCCCUGGACAAAGACUGACGCUCAGGUGCGAAAGCGUGGGGAGCAAACA
rnacentral:rRNA from 1 species